CAGUGCGCCCAGGGCGAUGGCCUGGAGUUUGACGACCUGAAGAGGGAGAUACAAGAAUGGAACCGGCGGUACAUUGAUGUCGACAGUUUGCUGACACGUCUGAAAAACGGCCACAGAGAUGUUUUGGGAGAAUUUUUCUCUGGACCUGAGGGACCAAUCCAAGUGUCGUCUCCUCGUCAGACUCGGCGAAAUUUGACGAGACCGCCUGCUAGCUUUCC